AUGUCAUUUCCUGACUAUCCGACCCCCUCACUGAUGCUGAAUGAGGAACUCCUUCAGUAAUGGGGCCACUCACCGAGUUUCAUGAGCAGGGCCAGGAGGAUCCAUAGAGAGAUCACGAAGGGUUUCCGGACGUCGUGAUAGUUGAAGGAGAGGACAGGGAAAGCCUUCUUGUGAGCGGUGGAGUUAGUUUGGUGGUGGGGGUCUUCCGGUGUGUCUCGGGCUGGUUCCCCCGACGUCUCGUUGCCACCCGACACAUCACGACUCCCGGAGGAUACGGAGAGGAAAAGGAGCAACCAAACGCACACAAAGAAGCCAGUCCUCCAGGACCGGGCAGGACCCAGCUCAGCCAUGUUUUGGAGAUGCUUUGACGGCUGCUGCUCGGCUCUAGAUCCGAUGAAGAUGAGGAUAGGACGAGAACAGGGCGAGCUCACCCACACUUAUCGGGAGGGAGGGCGACACCAGCUGGAGCGGAGGAACACACUCUAAUCUCAUAUUUACAGUAGGUAAGUGUUAUUUUUGUAUUUCUAUUUGAUCAUUAUCUCAUAAUAGUGUAAAAGCAUUUAUAGAAUAAAAUAAAGCAUCAGUUUGCCAGUGCAAGAUCAAUAUUUAUUUACAGCAGCACAUUAUGAUCUUCAGGAAAGGGAAAAUAUAUGAAGAGAGACAGAAACUCACUUCCUCUAAUGAUUCUUGCUCUUUACAGCUAUAUUUUAUCCAGUAUUCUACCAUAGAGAAGCUUUCUCAAAUAAAAUCUAAUAAUUAAUGACAGGAUCAUUUAUCUGCUUAUCAAUGUUCUCAUUUUUUUCCUGAGGUUGACAGAAAUUCUCUCAACCUAGUACAAUACAUUGCUAUUUUGAAAAUAGCUUCCAGCUUUAGAUGAGUUCAGGAUAAAGAAAUAAUUCACAGUUGACAUCCUCUUCCUCUCCAGCUCCCAGCGGAGAGGAAUUAGUAAAACCAACAUCUGUGGCUGGUUCCCAUGGUGUGACCUCUGGCUGCAGUCCCUUUUUACAGGGAUGUAAAAUAAAUACAAAUCUCACAGGCAUAACAAAAGGUCAUAACGCUGCUACUAAAAUUAGAAACCAAAACUGUCCACAUUUAUUUAACUGUUAUUUGACAUGUUUUCUUGCCUAUUUGAAAAAAUACACAGCAAUGCACAUCCUCUUGAACAGUGGUUCUAAUUUGAUAGACAUGAUCAGGACAAACAUUGUAUAUUAGAUAACAGUGGAGUAAGUGAAACCGGUAAUCGGAAAUGUCACUGUUAUGGCUCUUAAUAUUGUUGUGCUAAGUCCUAUUGAAAGCUGUCAACAUAGCAUCAAUCAGUCUCUGUUUAAUGUUUAUAGUGUUUCAGUGUGUGUGAAUGCGUCAGCUGACAGGAAGAAGUCAUGGACCCAAGAAUCCGACCAAACAGUCUGCAGUGAAUCAAGUUGUGAAACAAAUCUUUUUCUAUUUUUCUGUUCCCCCUGGAAUCGUAUUUUCAAAAGAAGUACUUUUGAAUGUUUCUCGCCCUCGUGCCAAUCAACCAAAGCAAAUUAGAUUUUUAUGUACUUGGUAAAUCAACCAUAUUCUGAUUCUGGUCUGGCAAAUGUCAUUUCAGUUACAUAUCAUUUCUGGCCACCUGAGGGCAGCAGCAACCAGUUUGAAACACAGCAGUUACAUAUCAUCAUCUUUUAUGUUGAUAUAUUGAACUAUUAAGUAAACAGUUGAAAAUGCACACAUUGAGCAGUUACAGAGCAACACAAUUAUAUAUUUGGCGUUGUGUUUGUGUCCACCUGAUGAACGUAAAUCCAAUAAUCACUUUCUUUUUAUCUAUGUUUUGGUCUCUUUGAACGUUACUAGCAGAGAACCAUUUAGUUUAAUUAUAUUGGACCCUAACCCAAGUCUUACAUUUUACAGCUGAUAUCUUCAACACUCAGUAACACACAGCAAAUUCAUUUAGAUUGAUAAAUGGCACAACAGGUAAAAGACAUUUUUUGUCUGAUUUUAAUGUGGACUGUCCCUUUAAACUGCUGUUUGUCAGAGAAAGAAUCAUUGUGCAUGAGUAUAAGUGCAGACAAAUUAAUGUAAAAGCAGAAUACGGUUUGAAAUCUCAUCCAUUGAUGUUAGAGAACAUGUUUGACUUUCAGCUCGUAGGAAAAUCCCAUUCCCGGCCUGAGUUUCAUCCACAUGAUUCGCUCCAUUCAGACUGUGCAGGUGCCCGAGCCUUUCUGUUUCCGACAAAACAUUUCCACAUGGAUGAAGCCUGAGAACCACAGAGUUUCUAAAAGCACAUUAAAAACCUCAAUCUUGCACAGAAAGUUUAAAAGUGUGAACAUAUUUAUUUGAGAAUACCAUACAUGAUACACAUAGUAAAUAUGUACUGAAUUUCAGUGGCUUUUUACAAUAACAGACAUUUAAUUUUAGUACAUACAUGUAAACUGAACAAGCCGUGGUAAAAAAUCACUUUUUCUUAGGCUAAUUUUCACGCUACGUAAUUAAUAAAUACAACAAUAAAACUGCUUUAGGAUUAACUUGAUCUAAAUUUCACACUUUAGGGUGCUAAAGUACAACAAACUAAUGACCAAACUGGCAAUUUUAAGUGUGACUAAAAAUAAAUACAAACAGCUUGUGUGCUGGGACGACUUCCUUCCUAAUUGUUGUGGGAUUUUUGUUGCAUAAUAUGAGAAUAAUCCUUGUGACAAAUGAUAUGCUAAUUCCCUUAAAUACAACACUAAUCAAAUCAAAGACAACCUGCAGGAUGAAUGCAGAUUGUCAAUCUAUUGGCGCCACUUAUAUACGCUCAUAAAUGUUGAGAUUGCAAAGAAGGCGUUAUUUGUCUUCCUGCCGGUUUGAACAAUGACUCACAUUUUCCUCCAGACACUUUCAGAUUUUCCUUCCAGCAGCAUCACAAACACAUGAACCCCCUCACCUCUUCCAUCACAAACCUUCUGUCACGUACACAAACACACAACCUGUCCCACACACUGCUUCUCACUGAUGCUUCAGGUCGACCCUCUCUGCCAUCUGCCUGGCGCUGUACAGAGACACUCCCAUCCCCAAUGUGGCCAUCGUCAUGGCGAUGGGAUUGAUGAAGCUGCUCUGUGGCUGCAUCCGGACCUUACCGGAGACCUGCCUCUGCACACACACACACACACACACACACACACACACACACACACACACACACACACACACACACACACACACACACACACACACACACACAGACGCAGACAGAUAGUAAGUUAUACACACAUUAGUCUGAUCAGAGAGCAGUUCAAGUGGUACUAUGCAACUGUUCUUCUCAUUAAAGCUACAUUUUCAACACAUUUGUACUUAAGUCUUGCAUCUGGCAACAUCUGCUGCAGGAUCUAAAUGGAACCAUGUACAUAUAAGGGUGUGUGUUAAUCAGUAUUUGUUAGCAGGUUCUGCUCUGAAUGAUGAUCGGUGGCAUUCAGUAGAGCUGAACUCCAGGCGAGGUCGUCUGAGCUCACCCCAGUCCCUCCUUUCCUGUCACUGUAGAAAGUCAACUCUUCUUUGGUGGGCUGCAUGCAACAUAACUUUGGACGACAGAAUCGUGGACCUGAUCAUGGGGCAGCAAAAGCAGCUGGGAAUCUACAGCAACCUGCAGAUAGAUAUAUGUGGAAUCAUUGACGGGAGUCGGAAGUAUCCUGGUGUCAGUCGUCCCAGUCUGAUGAUCAUCUCUGCUGCUGGAGCUCCUCAGAUGAGCCAACCACCCUCCUGCAGGAGAGGAGACACUCUUCACAACGUCUUGUUUACAAUGUAGAAGACUACAACUUCAAUUCAAAUUCUUCUCUUAAAUAGUUAGUAUUAUUCAUCAGUAGUUCCCAAACCUGUUUAUUCUGUUACUCCUGUUACAUGAAUCCUCUCAUUAAAAGAUAUAUAUAUUUAGUAGCUGUACGUGCAUCAACAAAAGAAGGAAUUCCUCCUCCAAGAAAUAUUUUUGUGAAUAUUUGAAGGAUCUGAAAUUAAAAAGACCUUAUAUGGUAGUUAAAAUGUACUUUUCUCUGGCAGAAAUAACAUUUUGAAUCAUGCAUCAUAUCAGGACCCGUGAGAUUCAUCUCGACACCUUGGGGGAAACAUAACCCUGAGAAAACACAGAGAAAGGAAGCAUAUCUGUCUGCAUAUUUUCAUUCUCAGGAUGUUUUUAAAAGGGUUUUGUUUGUAUUAUGUGAAAGCACUGACAUGUUGCUGGUUAGUUUAUCAGCACAUUAUCACUGAAGAGAAAAGGUUUUGUAAUAUACUUUUGGAAAAACUAAAAUUAGAGUGUCACUGAACGUAAAACCCUUCAUAAUUUCACAUGUAUGAAUGCUGAAUGUAGGUCAUCAGAAUCUUCCUUUUUUCUUGUUUUUCCAAUUCAGAAUUUCUUGAUUGAAUAAGCAGCAUGUCUAUUCUUUAAGAUACAGCUGUUAUUCCACUGUAUUUGGAUAUUUAAAUCACCUCUUACUGCCGACAGAAUCAUUAAGAUUUAUUGAAAACCAUAAUGUAUAUUUUAACCUACUAUGUUUAUUGUAUCGCACUUUGUUUAGUUAUUUAAGUGUUUCUCUCCUGUUAAUAAAGAUCGUUUUUGUGAUACAAUUCUUUAACACAACAAAGAGCAUACAGUGCUCUAAAAUAUUAAAAUGACCUAUUAUUUUAAUUUUGUUGACUUAAAUGUCUUUAAAAUAUUAAUAUCAAACCAAUGUGAGUCUCAAAUACUUUAAAGUUGUGCCAAAUAACCAGCGUCUUGUGGUAGAAUAAAGGUUUUCUCACAGUUUGAAGUCAACAGAUCCUCAGGAAGUUGAUCACUGGUCCACGCUCACCCUCACCUUCAUGCACAGCUGCUCAGCCCAUCAGACAGACAGAGUGACAGCAUGUGAAGCCCCUCCGCAGCCUGAACAAACAGUGGCAGCCUGUCGUACUGAAGAGGCUCCUGUGUGUCCCGGUUCUUUUGUACAGAGACCCAUUCUGACGGGGCUCAACACGCACACACAAAGCUGCAUGUCAGAGAGUAUCUGGUCAUCCAGCCAGUAAAAAUGGGUGAGAGCAGAGAGAAAGAAGAAGAAGAGGCUCUGUGCAGCAUGUUGCACGCUUCAGGGAACAUGUGUGUUAAUGCGCUGCAGGGACUUACGUAACCCCAAACACUCUACAGAGGAAAAUACUUUUUAAAAAACUGUCCUGAAUGGACCUUCUGGGCGCGGCAGCUGCCAAACACAAACUAUCAUUUGACAGGAUUAACCUUCACUGGACAUAAGGAGACUUUUUUUAGAGGAAUCGAGUGGUUGUUAUAUGUUACAUAAGGCCUCAUGUUCUCAUUCUUCAUGCUGCUGCAUAUUUAAACAAAGGAUGUCAGAGAAUGAUGGCAUAGAAACAUUUUAAUUACAAGUUUAA